CUUUCAUUAGAUGGCUUCCUGCUACUUAGUUAACCCUGGGCACUAACAGACACCUAUGUUCAAUUUCUAGCUAUAAAGAGAAUACGCCAUGCUGCUCCACGGUUCUGUUCGUGGAUGUGCGGGCCUGCAGGCCACUCCACGGUUCUGUCCACGGAUGUGCGUCCUGCAGGAAGCAGUCCACCCUAAUUAAUGGUCAAAGGCAUCCACCCUGGAGUCUGGUGCCAGACAGGUCAUCUAGCCUCAGCUUUCUGAAUAAAAUUGGAAACCUUUCCAGCUGAAGAAAGUCGGAGGGCAGUGUGGGAAGAAAGGAAGAGAGGGAGGACUGGAGAAGGAAAUACAGCAGGUUCACUCCAGAGGUCAGCAGGAACCACCGCCUGGUGCCCUUUCCCACAGACCAUAUCAAGGCUAACGAUGCACACUAUCAACUAUCUCAGGACGGCGCUGCUAUGCCACCUGGGCGUGUGGCUAACAGAAGUGAAUGCCCCCCCCCUUUUUAAAGAAAUGACAACUUCAUUCAAACAGCCAAUGUAGAUGCAUCAACCAAGGAGAUGACAAAAUGGCAAUUAAAAAUUUGACUGUUUUUAUGUAAAUCUUUUUCAGAGAAAAAAAAGCAUCAUUGGCAAGAGUAUUCGCCACAUUCUACAGUACACUUCACACAGCAAACAGAAAAGCACCUUUAUAACGUCUCUCUCCCAGUAAAACCAAACGUUCCAAUACUGCUUUUAAAAAUGUGUGUGUGUGUGUGUGUGUGUGUGUGUUAAUCUCCAGAGCUGGUAAGCCAGAAACCCCAGAUUCUCCUAGAGCUGGUGUAGUGAUGUUUGUGUUUUAACAAAUAAAGCUUGUCUGCAGAUCAGAGUGCAGAGUGAAGCCACUAGUGGUCAGGCCCUGGCGGCUCACACCCUCAAUCCCAGAACUUGGGAUCCUGUGCCUUUAAUCCCAGCACUUAGGGAGGUGAAGACAGGAGUGAUAUGGCUGGGUGGAGGGAGGAAUAUGAGGGAGGAGACAGGAGCUCAGUGCA